rfam:Schistosoma curassoni strain Dakar, Senegal genome assembly, scaffold: SCTD_scaffold0000056
AUCCAACUGACGAGUCCUAAAUACGACGAAACGUGCGUCGUGGAU